rnacentral:lncRNA from 1 species
UGUCAUUGUGUAUUAAAUUGAAUGAGUUAUGUGUUGGAAUUAAUAAUUCCACGUGGAAAAGUAAAUUCUUUAUGGUCUUGGGUCUCUGACGUCAAUUUCUUCACCAGCUUGCGUCCAUUAAUUGUGGGUCGAACUUUGUUGCCUGCCGAGACAAGCAUUGGACGCGCGUCGGGGUCGGCGACUGGGAAGUUCAUGGAUUAGACUCUGGGGGGGCCCGACAUUGCAAACCCUGAACUCAAAAACCCUUCUUCUCGAAC